UGUUUGUGGUAGUGUGUGUGU
rnacentral:piRNA from 1 species